rnacentral:rRNA from 1 species
GACGAACGCUGGCGGCGUGCUUAACACAUGCAAGUCGAACGGUAAGGCCCCUUCGGGGGUACACGAGUGGCGAACGGGUGAGUAACACGUGAGCAACCUGCCCUUGACUCUGGAAUAACAGUUGGAAACAGCUGCUAAUACUGGAUAUUCAUCGUCUCCUUCCUGGGGGGUGGUGGAAAGCUCCGGCGGUCAGGGAUGGGCUCGCGGCCUAUCAGCUUGUUGGUGAGGUAAUGGCUCACCAAGGCUUCGACGGGUAGCCGGCCUGAGAGGGCGACCGGCCACACUGGGACUGAGAUACGGCCCAGACUCCUACGGGAGGCAGCAGUGGGGAAUAUUGCACAAUGGGCGCAAGCCUGAUGCAGCAACGCCGCGUGCGGAUGACGGCCUUCGGGUUGUAAACCGCUUUCAGUAGGGACGAAGGGUGACUGAAGGUACCUACAGAAGAAGGACCGGCUAACUACGUG